UACGUAGGGGGCAAGCGUUGUCCGGAUUUAUUGGGCGUAAAGAGCGUGUAGGCGGCCUGACAAGUCUGCUGUGAAAACUCGAGGCUCAACCUCGAGAUGUCGGCGGAAACUGUCUGGCUAGAGUCCGGAAGAGGAGAGUGGAAUUCCUGGUGUAGCGGUGAAAUGCGGCAGAUAUCAGGAAGAACACCUAUGGCGAAGGCAGCUCUCUGGGACGGUACUGACGCGAGGAGCGAAAGCGUGGGAGCGAACAGG
rnacentral:rRNA from 1 species